rnacentral:lncRNA from 1 species
AGCGGCUCCCCGAGGCUCAGCUCUUUCUUACUUAGACACUAAGGAAAGUAAAUACAUCCAGCUGUUGCCAGCUGGUGGACACUACAAGUGGUUCCCGGAGGCUUUACUUGUCUUUACUUGGCGGCGAAGAGAAACGAGCGGCUCCCCGAGGCUCAGCUCUUUCUUACUUAGACACUAAGGAAAGUAAAUACAUCCAGCUGUUGCCAGCUGGUGGACACUACAAGUGGUUCCCGGAGGCUUUACUUGUCUUUACUCGGCGGCGAAGAGAAAGUAGAUUCCUUCAGCUGAUUGUAGGGGUCCGCCAUUCCCUAAAGGCUGAAGCUGGUUGUCCUUUGUGAGACGUCUUUUGCUAGGGAUAGGGACGUCUCCAAUUGCUGUUGCUGUUUGAGGACAACUGGCAGCCAGUCCUUGUACCAGUUAUCCUUUCCUCCACUCCUUCUUUGGUAUUCUUCCGCUUUGAUUGAGUGGAUGUCUCUGAAUUGUUGAAGCGCCUCACAUGCUUGUCGGGCGGCUUCCUUCUGGAUUGCUCCAAGCCUUCUUUCAGACAAUCCUUGUUCAUCCAUUGGUAUUCCUUGUCGUGUUCUGGCUCUGAGCUUAUCCAGCUCCUGUUGGUAUUGUCUGAGGAGAUCACCUGAUUUAUUAACUGAUUCAGGUGUAAUGCUGCUCUGGGGUCUGGUUUGGCUUGC